CAAAGGGAAAUAAUCAGUUGUAGUUUAUUGAUUGAAAUCUGUAGGAGUGAUUUCCCUUGGCUGUUUUAUUAGUUAAUCAUGCGUGUAAUUGUUCCCGCCGUUUUCUGAGUUGUCAUCAGUUUUUGGUAGAAGGCAGACAUGUUUUUCAGUUGUUUAAAAUAAUAAAUUGGUUAUUAAUUCUUAAAUAGGAUUUUGGAUUUUGGAUUGAGUAUGUUGCAGUAACAUCACAAGAUUGAGAGGAUUUUUGUAUGAGUGUCAUUGAGUCCAAUCCACAAUUGGGCUUGAUCUUCAUAUUGAUCUUCAUAUUGAUAUCUACAUUUCAUACUGAUUAUAUAUUGAUUGGUGCUUUAACAAGUGCUUGAUGUGAAGUUGUGAUGUGACUUUAACCUCUUGGGUUAAAUCUACUGGAAGCUUUAUAUUAUAUAGUAAUAUACUGAGAUCAUACAAUGAAUGGACAUUUCAAUUAAAAGUAUUGAACGAACUCAGCCUCGUUGAUAUUUAUUCCUUUACAUCUUUAAGGGCAUAAUUUUAACAAAG